rnacentral:rRNA from 1 species
CCCUUAGAUGUUCUGGGCCGCACGCGUGCUACACUGAGUGGAUCAGCGGGUCAGGUUGCGCGAAAGCGUUUCCUAAUCUUUAAAUCCGCUCGUGAUGGGGAUUGACGGUUGCAAUUUUCUGUCAUGAACGAGGAAUACCUUGUAAGCGCGGGUCAUCAUCCCGCGCUGAAUACGUCCCUGCCCUUUGUACACACCGCCCGUCGCUCCUACCGAUUGGUUGAUCUGGUGAAUUAUUCGGACUGCCGGCUGAAGGGGUUUCCUCAUCUGCCAGCGGAAAGUCUUGUUAACCCUAUCAACUAGAGGAAGCAGAAGUCGUAACA